GUGUUAAGCAUUGUGUCC
rnacentral:siRNA from 1 species